AAUGUGGGCAGCAGCGUGUUCUCGCCAAUAGGCGCCCCCAUUCCGAGAGGAACGGGAAAUCACCCAAAUGCUCAUUUAGUUGGGAUUGGGGACUGCAACGGUCCCCAUGAAC
rfam:Anopheles stephensi strain SDA-500 unplaced genomic scaffold supercont1.3, whole genome shotgun sequence.